GACGAACGCUGGCGGCGUGCUUAACACAUGCAAGUCGAACGGAAAGGCCCUGCUUGCAGGGUGCUCGAGUGGCGAACGGGUGAGUAACACGUGGGUGAUCUGCCCCUUACUUUGGGAUAAGCCUGGGAAACUGGGUCUAAUACUGGAUAGGACCAUGCUGUAGGUGGUGUGGUGGAAAGAUUAGUUUCGGUAAGGGAUGAGCUCGCGGCCUAUCAGCUUGUUGGUGGGGUAAUGGCCUACCAAGGCGUCGACGGGUAGCCGGCCUGAGAGGGUGGACGGCCACAUUGGGACUGAGAUACGGCCCAGACUCCUACGGGAGGCAGCAGUGGGGAAGAUUGCACAAUGGGCGCAAGACUGAUGCAGCGACGCCGCGUGGGGGAUGACGGCCUUCGGGUUGUAAACUCCUUUCAGCCAUGACGAAGCCCUUGUGGUGACGGUAGUGGUAGAAGAAGCACCGGCUAACUACGUG
rnacentral:rRNA from 1 species